AACACAUGGCCAAGGGCCCAAGGCGGCAAUGGCAGCAACACCCUCGCCGGACUGAAUCCCGCCGGCCGCCGUCACCGUCAGGUAUCCCCGCUCCACUCUGCAGUGCAGAGAAAAUGCCUCACGUACGCGCUCGGGCAUCACCUUCGCCGAGCCAGAGGUCCCUCACCAUCUCAGCCCACGGCGCUAGCCGCUAGCGACGGCGCCGGCGGCUGAAUCGCCGCAGUCCAUGUGCGGA
rnacentral:lncRNA from 1 species